CAGGAAGUAGUUUAUGGAGAAUUUCAGCUUUGGGUGCUGACGGUAGGGCUUUUUGUCUUCUUCCUGA
rnacentral:tRNA from 1 species